GGAUACCAUGCAGCUCAGCAAACAGCCGAUCAAUGAAUGAAUGCGAUGCACCGGUAUCAAACAAAGCUCUAGCUCGAAUACCAGAAAGUAAAAUGAUACCUGCGACCACAUUCUCGGCUGCCGCCGCCUCCUCAGUCUGGGCCGCGUACAUGCGCCCGCUCGGGGCCUGUCGUGACCCCUCCGUCAGCCGCUGGACAGGUGGCCGACCGGCCUGGUGAUGCGCAGAAGAUGUCCCCUGGCUGGGACCUGGCGAUGCUGGUGCAGAUGCCGCAGAUGGCGCUGGUAAUGGACUCCUCGGGCAAUCCGACUGGAAGUGGCCCUCCUGGCCACACAAGAAGCACCUGCCCCGGCUGCGUGAACACUGCCGCGGGUAAUGAGGACCGCCACAGAUCACGCAGCGGGGAGCCUGACGACGAUCGGGUCCUCCUCGCUGAGUAGACUGGCCGCGUCCUCGCGACUGGCUCCUGCUCCUGGGAUGCCUCGGCGGCCUCCGUGAGUGCGUCUGACUCGCACCCUCAGCCGCUGGCCUCUUGCCCUUGCCCUUAUCUAGGGCCUCGCGUCGCUCCUGAAGGUCUGCUGCUCCGGCCUCCACAAUCAACGCUCGAUCCACAACCUCCCGGUAGGUCUGGAGGUUGGAAGACUGCACCAACCGAAAGAUAGAAGGCCGUAACCCGCGCUCAAAGAUGCGGGCCUUGUCCUUGUCAUCCCGCACCACAAAAGGCACACAAUGGAGUAAUCGAGAAAACUCCCUCUCGUACUCGGCCACGGACCGCUCAUCCUGGCGCAAGCUGCGCAAGUCCUGCUCCAUCUUCCUCUUGACGCUGGUAGGAAAGUAGUGCGCCAGAAAAAGCUCCUUAAACCGCGUCCAUGUGAUCGCUGUCAAGUCGGUGCUGGGAUUGUCCUGGAUAUCCAACCACCAACGGUAGGCCUCGCCGUUCAGAAAGUGAGUGGCGAGCCAAACUCUAUCCCGCUCCUCCACAAAGGUAUCUCGAAAUAGUUUCUCCAUAUGUAUCAACCACUUCUCAACAAUCCAGUGGUCGACAUUCUCGCCAUCAAACAUCCUCGGGCUGCACCUCCUGAACUCACUGAGGCGCUCCAUAAGCCGAUCUCGCUCGGCUCCCUCGGCCAUCACGGGGAAAACUGCCCCCGUCACCGGUCUCUGCACUGGGGGUACCGCAGCCACCUCCUCCCGAGGUGUGGUCGCCGGUGCCGCACGGGAAGAACUGGGCGCAGGAGACUGCGCCCUCGGUGCGACGUCCACCACGGGUGCUGGCGGUGUAGGACCCUGGGUCUCCCUCGAAGCUGCCACCUGCUGAAGUAGGAGGUCCUCCAGAUGCUUCAUCCGCGCCUCCUGCCGCUGAGCCACCUCAGCCUGUCGCUGCGCCGCUGCCGUCUGCUGCGCCAACAGAUCGGUGAGAACCGCAAGCUGUACCCUCAAGUCACGGACCUCACUAGAUCCGGAAGUAGCGGAGGUCUCGACCUCUUCGGGGUGUGCCGCAUCAUCCGACCCGGCAGACUGGGAGCGUGUAAUCGGCAUCGUCACUACAAAACAUAAAAGCGCAAGUUAAUAACCCACGCUAUCGCAUCCCCGCUCAAAUAGAUAAAACCCCAAAUCAUGCGAAAGUAAGGAAGUGUCCUUCACUAUUAACUCUCGAUGUUACGUUGUCGGCCGCCAACGUAACCCUCCGCGAAGUUAGAAGUUAUACACUUCAAUUUAACUCCACUUUCUAGAGUUAUCCAAGAUACCCAAUCUAGAUACUUUCGCUUACAAAUCGAAUAGACCUCGUCUCUCACGAGCCUAUUUCCUAUAGUCCAACCGGCCUAAGGUUUGCUAGGUCCACUAAGACUCAAUCCUAGGCUCUGAUACCAAAUUAAUCUGGCAUGCCCCGGGACCGGCGGAGGCCCUCCCGGUAGCGUGCCCAGACCCGCCAUAUGUCUACACAUAUAAGGCGUCUACAAUAAAAGCGGAAGUAAAAGCAAGUAAUAAAACAAAUAGAAGAAGGAGAAAUAAUGAGCAGCUAAUGAUAUCAGAGCGAGUAAAGUUCUAACAUCUACACCAAGGUAAAGUAGUAAAGCUAGACAAUAAAAGAAGUCAUAAGUAGUACAAUAACUGUCUCUAGUACAAAAAUGGUAGUCUCUAGUACACUGGUAAAACACUCAACCUCUCGCAAAAAUAGAACAUAAAUCGAGAGGUGGACCACCUAGCAACUCGUCCUCGAAGGAAGCUAGCUCGAAGCAACUCCCUUCCCGCGAUCCCUGGCCUCACCCUGAGUGGAAGGCUCUGAAAAAUAUCGAGAAAAAGAGGGCGUGAGAACUAUAAUUUAUAGUUCCCAGUGGGCAAUUACUGACCUCAGCUCAAUGCACCACUAGGCCCCAAAAGGAAAGGGUAAGUACUAAAGCAAUAAUAAGAGUAAUAGCAACAACAAUACGAAAGCAUAAAUGAAGUGCUAAACCGCUAUAUCUCAAGUAAACAUGAUGUCAUGGUGAUGUACAUCUACGCUGUCAUAAGAUAAUAUGUCAAUGCAUAAAGAGUAAGCUCUAACCAAGAAACCGAGUAUACUACGAUGCAACAAUGAAACCGGCAAGUAUGCUAUAUGCACCAAUGCUAUAUCAUGAGCAUGUCAAAGUAAUUCAACUACUAAACCUAUCUAGUAGUGAUUAUUCAUUCUCAACACUGUGUCGAAUUCUAUUUUCAAUUAAGGACCCACCCAAGGUGGCCCAGCUUGUGCCGCCUAAGUGCCUGUGGUAGCCCGACAUUCCUACUCUUGGAAUGUGUAUGUCCCACUCGACCCCGUAGGCUUCUCAAUACCGCACGAACGAACAUAGUCGCGUAGGCUAACUCCGGAGUGCCGGCUUGUAGGGAGCGACCCUCAUAAGCAUGUGCGAAUGAGCACAAAUGGCAAGCAAGCAUAGUCCAAGUCUCAAAUAUCCAAUCCUCAUGUCUCUAACAUGGUAUGGUCACUAGCAUCACGAAGAUCUAGUUUAAGUCAAAAUGUGAAGUUUCAACAUUUGCUACGCCUAGUGCCCCUUGAUGACACUUAGGCAAUUUGAUGUUCAACAUGUAUUUCCAAUCCCUCAAUGGCCCUAUCCACUAGGUUCUCACAUAUCCCGAGCUCAAUGCCGCUUGAUGACAUUAGCUCUUUAAAUCACAUACGAUUCAAGUUCGGUGACCCAAUAUGGCCAAUGUUGUUAUCUUUCCUGUCUCAAUUAAACUUAAGUUUAAACGCAUGAAUCAAAACUCAUUUACACUAUAAGCAACAUGGCCAACAUAAGAAUGCUAGAGAAUCCCGCAUAAGCUUCAUAUGUACUUCUCUACCACUUAGAGGUCCAAAAUUUUUUCACUACAUGUGACAUGGGUAUUUUAAGCAUUCCAAUAAUCAUAAUAAAUGCAUGUGACAUGAUUAUGCAUGAUUUUCCAAGUUACGAAAUAUAAUUCACCAUAUAUGAGAAUUUCUCAUAUUAUAGGCUAGGUCAAACCCACCAAAAUCGAAACUCUCGAUCCGCCGAACGAAGGUUUCGGCAAGCUCCCUAGUACCCCAAGAGCAACAAAAACGGGGUUACCCAAACGAAACGAAGAGCGAAAAGCUCAAACAUUAAGCAUCUAGCAAAAUGGGCAAAACUCACCUCAAGAGAAGAAAUCUCUUCCUAUGCUCCAAAAGAGAGCUAGAACCCUUCCAAUCUAACCUAGAGGAAGGUUCUAAUCCAACCAAUUGAGCUUCAAAAGUCCUAAAACGAAAAUGCCCAAAAUAAACCCUAAAACACCAAAUCUAGGGUUUCAUUUCAAUGAAACCUUCAAAAACCAAAUCUAGAGGGAAGGACCUUGUCUCUUACCUCUUAGAAGCUUCAAACCAAGCUCAAAGUUCUCAAACUUCAAGAGUAAUCCCUGAAACAAGCUCCAAACCUAAGCUCCAAGCUUCAACAAUGGUGGAAAUAGCUCCAAAAUGCAAAAGAGAGGGAAAAACCAUCAAAACCCAAGCAAAAAGGUGAUCAAAACCAAAGGGAGGUGAAGAGGUUCUCCCUACCUUGCUUCUCCACGGUUUCCAGCUCAGGGAGAGCUCCAUGGGGCGUGGGGACACAUAUAAGAGUCCACAAAUGCGAAAAACCCCCUGCAGUUUCGAACAGUUCAAAAAAUCUGCACUGCGUACCGGUACACGGGCCCGCGUACCGGUACACAUCCCACGAAAAUGCCAAACCCGAGCCUCGGGUUGGCUGAAAAGCUGCCCGUGUACCGGUACACACUCCCGUACCGGUACAACCAUCAAGCCUGUACCGGUACAGCCAUCAAGCCUGUACCGGUACACAGCCCAAUAAAGGCUACCCGAGAGCUAACCAAAAAUCCAAUUUUUCGGGUUUGGGUGCUAGGCUUCAAACCUCAAUCCUCGGGACUCGAACCACGGGUCGGAACACUGUCUACGACCGUCCACAAAGUGUGAAAAAGUUCGGAACACAACGAAUCACUCGAACAUCGCAAUUUGCGAAAGUCCGGUGUGUUACAAUACCAGUGACGCCCACUCGCGUACCGGUACCCUGCACCCCGAACAGCAGAGUGAGUCUGCUGCAAAUAAGAGAAGUUGGAGGGUUUAUUUGCUAUUGUAGCAGCUUAUAAAGACCCCACACUCUCUCCACUUUUGUUCACAGCCAACACAACCUCUCCUCUCUCAUUUCUCUCCCUCUCUCUCUCUAAAAGCUCUCUCCUAAGGUGGGUGAGAGGUAGAUAUGGAGGAGAACUUGGGGAUUUGAAGGAGAUUUUGGAGCUUGGAAGGUUCUAGGGCUCUCCUACAAGGUGGAGCUUGGAGAGCUUUUGGGCUAAGGUGAGGUUUCUUGUAAGAUUAAUGUUAGGGUUUGGUUUUAUAACCUAGAACACUUGGCUUUGAUCUUCGUACAUGAAAGGAAACCUAGUAGAAACCAUGGAACUCAUGAAAAUCCAUGGUUGUCCAUGUGCUCUCAUGGUAGAUGUCUAGGGUUUGGUUCAAAUGCUCUAAGAAUGAUUUAAAUGGUUCUAGAUGAGUUUCUAGACGGUGGCUAAGCUUACUUUUGCUUGUCUUAGAGAUCAAAAUGGUGUAUUCGGCAAAUGGCAUUGUUAGGGCAUUAAAAUUGGAGCUUUUGUCCUAGAUGAGUUUGAAUGUAAAUUAACCAUGUAGAAACCAAAUUGAAGGUAUUUUCGACGCGUUGGUGGGCUCGGUUCGAAGAUCCGACAAAUCUACGCCAAGGAAUUGGAGAAAAAGUGUAAGGAAGUGAAUUCUCGAAAUCCGAGAGUUGGACUUCGUUCGGAAUCGACUAAUUGUCGAGUGGGUAUGCUUCGGAAAAGCCGAAGUAGUCAAAAGCACCAAAAGUGCAUUGCGACGGAUCUCGGAGAGCAAACUGUGCAAAAUCUGCACUUGGCAGAUUCUGCUCUCGGGGACCAGUCCCUGGCAUGAGGGACCGGUUCCCGUAGGCUCGGUGCGCAGGGAAAACCCUCUGCGCACAAGUAUUGCUCUCCGGGAUCGGUCCCUGAUAGGAGAGACCGGUCCCCGUAAGCGAAAUGGUGUCCGUGGGGACCGGUCUCCCAGUGGAGGACCGGUUCCCAUAAGUGUCCUGCGAGAGCAUUGCUCUCGGGGACCGGUCCCUGGUGGGAGGGACCGAUCCCCGUGCGCGUAGAAGCUUGCAGAGAGCUUUCUGCCCGCAUGGGAUGCUCUCGAGGACCAGUCCUCCAGUAGAGGGACCCGUCCCCGUGCGCGAAAACUGCCCAGUUUAAGCAGUGUGAAAGAAGCAAAGUUGAGAGGCUUGGGUGCAAUUGUUACAUUAGUUGAGGGGUAUAGAGGGGAUGAGCCCUCUCUUCUCUCUCAUUCUCACUCCAAAACACACAUCUCUCUCACUCUCUAAGCUCUCUCUUCCUCUCUCUUGAAGUGAAGAAGGAGAAGAAGGAAAGGAAGGAGAAAAAGGUAGAGAAGAAAGAGAAGCAAGCUAGGAGAAGGGCUUGGUCAUCCUCUUCUUUCUCUCCUCACCAUUGGAGCUAGCUUAGAGGUAAGCUUUUGAGCUCAAUAAUGGUAGAAACCUAGGGUUUAGAGUUUUAGCUCUAAAAAUGGGUCAAAUGGACCUCUAACAUGCUUAAUAGAUGCUUAAUGUUAGAAUCUAAAGAUUUGUUGGAGUGGUUUGCUAUAGAUGGAAACCUAGAGCUCCAAAUUGGGGUUUUGCUAAAUAGUGAGGUUUGAUCUCAAUUGUUGGCAUCUAAACCUAAUUGAUAGGCAUCUAAACACGUUGGCGAAGACGGAUUGAGCAUUCGUCGAGUCGUUGGAAAGAUAUCGGCAAAAAGGUGCCGAGUGAGCUUCAUUUCCACCUAGGAGGUUGAAGCGACGUCGUAACAAUCGCCGAAUAGCAAUUCUAGAACCUCUACAUCGUUAAAAGGUGGGGGGUGUCAUCCCGAAGCAACCGGGUUCCCUAUUAUGUCUUAGAAUACUAUUAAUUUGCAUCUCUUGCAUAUUGCAUUGUAGGAUUGCAUUGUUAUCAUUUCCUUAUGCUUUCUAAUAUAUAUCAUAGUAUGAGUUGAAUACUUGAUAUAGUGGAUAGAUAAGUCGAAAUCCGAGAGUUGAAUAAUUGAGAUCAAUUGAGGUUUGAUCUCAAUUGAUGGCACUCGGUAGCUUUUUACAUGGACAAAUUUAUAAGAUUAAAAUAGUAAUUUUAUGCACCCACCAUUAAAAAAUUAACGGUGAGCCAAACAGCAAGUAAAAGAAUGAGAAUUUUUGUGGGAUAUGUUUAUAAAUCUGAAAAAUUUUGAAAGAAUAAAUCUGAUAAUUUAAGUUUUAUAGGAUUAUAUUUGCUAUUUUAUAUCUUUGUAAGGACCUGCGUGAAAUUAUAUAACCCUUAAUUAAACAUCAGUUACGGGAUGAGAUGGGGCUAGCAAAUCGAUCGGUUAACUAUAACCGGCUAGAGAGAAGUGGUUGAGGGGCAAAUUAGUCAGUGGAAACCGUUAUUCUCCCGUUACCCACACACAGUAAUUAAUCAAAAACAAAUUUAUUACAUGAACCAAGUGCAUCUAUAUAUAAUAAAUACACUUUUCCUCUUCAGCCCUCUAUUUUGUCACUCUAUUUCAAUGGGUCCGACUAUGGUUCUUCCAGAGUGCCAACUCAUGUGUUGCUUUCAAUUUUUUAACUCUUAAAUCAACUCUUUUAAUCAUUUAUAAUUCUUGAAUUAAUAUUAUUCCCAUAGAAUUAAGGACCAUUAAAUUCCAGGAGGACCAGUCAACCCUGGGUUAUUACUAUCAUUCCAACCCUAUGAUUCUUAAUCCAAAGACUGAAAAGGCGGAAGUACCAACUCCUAUCUACCUCUAAAAGCAUAGUAACUCUUCACCUAUUUCAAUUUAACUCUACUUUUUUUUAAUAAAAAAAAUACAGUAACAAAAUAUGACCGUUGAUUAAGGUGUGAGAAAAAUUUACAAAAAUUUGAUAGUCGAUGCACGUAUUUUCCAAUGCACCGAGUGUAAAUAAAUUCACGUGGUGUAUAAAUUGUGUCCCCAGCUAGCUAACUCCGAUAUAUAUAUAUAUAUAUAGUAGGGCUAGAAUACUUGUAAAAGUAUCAUGGGGGUGAUACUUGUGUGUUUUUAGUUCUUGGAUGGAGAGAUGUGAGGUUGAGAUGAUGGUGGUAGGUGGUGGUAGGUGGUGGUAGGUGAAAUAGUGUUUAAUCCAAGGACUAUUAAUAAUCAAAAAGUAGAUCCAAUGGCUUAAAACCUAAUAGCACCAUAAUGGUGAUACUUGUAAAAGUAUCAUAGCUCAACUCUAUAUAUAUAUAUAUAUAUAUACUAGUGAAGGCCCGCGCUUCGCGACGGAAAAUUUAUAUAAAUUUUAAAAUAUUUUGAAUAGAAUACUAAACAAAGUAAUGUAAAAAGAAAAUGGAGGAUAUGAAACGAUAUGUUUCAAAUGCAAAAAAGAAAAAAAAAAUGAUACAUCAAUAAAGUGAACUAUAUUAAUUUAUACAGUAAAGCAUGCCGAAGAAAUUAAAUAAAAGUAGCUACAAAUAUAUCUAUCAACAAAACCGAAAUAUAAUUCAACUAUAUAUUUUGAGAGAUUCAACGUUUGUCUCCGCAGCCUUCAUCAAUAUCACUUGAACCGCAAAGCCAACAAUAUAAGAUUAGCAUUUGUAGGUUAAUAGCAAAUGGAGUUGUUAUCUAAAUUUUAUAUAUAUAUAUAUAUAUAUAUAUAUACUAGUUGAAUGUACGUGCAAAUGCACGUAACAAUUAUUAUAAUUUAUUUCAAAUCAAUAUAAAUUUGUACAUUAUAUAUAUGCAAAAUUUUACAAUAAAAAUUAUAUUUAUAAAUUAAUGUGUUAUAUUUUAUUAGAAAAUAUUUAUAAUAUCCUACCGUGUUCUUUUAUUUAUAUACAUCGAACAUUUUUAUAUACUUUUUGAUUUUUGAUGAAUCAAAUUUUAAAUCAUGUAUUUCUAAACUUAAAAGCAUCAAAAUUUAAUUCACAAUUUAACUUUAACAUUUAAAAUUUAGUUGAUCCACUAUAGUAAACAGAAUUUAAUUAUUAGUUCAAAGUUGUUAUCAAGGAAAAAUUACAAUUGUAAUUCAUAAUUUUAACUCAAAUUUCUACUUUAAUGGCACAAAUAGAUUCCAAUCAGAAAUGUACGUUCUUCUUUAACAAUCGUCGAUCAUAACCGCUUUUUCGUAAUUUGAGAUACUUUCUUUAACAAAUUGACUGUAAUGCGUUCAUCCCAGAACUUGAACUUCUUAUACGAUGGAUCGCCGAACUGCAUUUUUUAAUAGAUUGCGUAUACCCAUGUUCAUCUAAUUUGAGAUAUUUUCGUUUACAAAUUGAUCAUAAACUCAUUUAAUAGGGCACACUCAAAUGCUCGCCCUUGUAUAUUGUAAGUUAUGUUACAUAAUUUUAUUCUAUUUGAUGUAUUUAUCUGUUCUUUCACUUCUGUUUUACUUAUUUACCUUAUUUUUUAACUAAUAUUUCAAAUUCAUUGAUAUCAAUUUUCUUUCUCGGUAGGAUUUAAUAUCUUUAUAUUUAAUAGAGUCUGAUUAUUUUAUACCGUUAAUUCUGUCUUGGUAGACUUCUUAUUCUUUUUUUAUAAUAAAUUUCUAUCAUAAACCUCUCGUAGGCAAUAUUAUAUUUUAUUCUCCUUUUUGGAUUCCGGUUGUCUUUCCCUGUCAGUCUUAAUUUCUAUUAUAGUCGUCUUUAUUAUAUUUAUCUCUAGUUUUCUUUCUUUUUAUAUUUUUUUUCUAUUUCUAUUUUGAUUUAUUUUUUUUUUUGUUUGUUUGGCUGACCUAUAGGUACCUACCUAGGUAUACUAUAUAUCACUAGGAGACCCGGAGGCAGAGAGGAGACGAGGAGUUGAGCCUAGAAUACUCUCGAUAGUCAAACGACCGCGUUGUUAAGCUACCCGACGUUUUUUCGAUGAUCCAGAGCUUCCAAAUUGACGGAUCGGUCCGUUAAAAUAACAUCUCUAAACUAUUUAACUACCUAAAAUAAAUUUGCACGCACUUUCGACCUAUUGGUUCUUUUAUCCAUCUAGGUGAGACAACAAAUGAACUGGCGACAAAUGAAUUCACUCUCUUGUAAACUUGAUGGUAGCGAGUCUUUGGUAAGCAAGAUCAAAAAAUAAUUAGAAUCUUGUUCUUAACUAGUUUAAAGAAUUUUCCUAACAAAAAUCAAUUGAUUUCUGAUAUCUUUAAGCACCGUUACACACGAGCAAAGUCUCCUUACGUCCACAUUAAAAUUACCAAAAUUUUGGAACCCCUUCUGCACUCAUCUAGCGCAAAUCGAAUUCGGAAAAGAUUCUGAAUUUGAUUUCUAGAACAAUUCAACGUGGUAUACCAAUCAUCCGUUCAACGGAACCGAGUCGUCCAACAUUUGGCAGCUCCUAUCCAUCGAAAACAACCGCAUAGUCCCAAACGCCCCCGUUUAACUAUCAGACCAAGUAUAUCUAGCUCAAUCUACUACAGUAGUAUAUACUAUUAUUACUAUACAUAGGUACAUAAUAUAUACUUAUCUUAUAUAUUAUAUAUAAUAUACCCUCUCCAUAUCUAUGCAGUACCUAAGGCGGCCUUUCUUUGUAUACGGAAUUUCAUAUAAUUUAUUAGAUACCUGUGCUGAGCUGUUAAUAAUUAAGAAUUCAGCCAGUCAAUUUGGGAUUCCACGAAGAAUUCCAAAUUCAGCAAAAAAAGCAAAUCUAAGUAAGAAUAAGAGUAAGGCAAAAAGUCGAGAGUUUCAACAAACACCAAACACCAAACCAAUGCACCGGAGCAGUUCAGUUCUAUUCUUUUCAACACAUAGUGAAAGAAUCCGCAAGCAUCAAGCAAUAAUAUCUAUACAAUAUACCUAAUCUGGUUAGGUUAAAUAUGUUUCCAAGAAAAACUGAUUUGUAUGAAAAAUAGUCAAGGGUUGCUACAGGAGGCGCCCAUUUAAUAUGUAACCUUGGGGGAAAGAGCAAAUUGAUACCAUUGAAAUUAAGCAAAAAACCCACAAAGUAGUCUUAAGAAAAAAUCAAAAAAGGAGAAAAAAAUGCAAUGAGGAGUUAUCAAAAAAGGGAAAAAAAAUGCAGUGAGUUUUUUUACCAAACAGCUGCAGAAUUCAUACAAAACGCAUAUAAAACUCAACCCGACACUCGAGAAAUAAAAUUGGAGGAAAUAAGAUCAAGUUUAAAUAGCUUCGGAGAUAAAUUGAAGUUCUUUCUCUAAUACAUUACUAACCCUAGAACAACAUGUAAGGCUAGGAGGAAAGUUGGAAUCCAAAAUGAGUUUUAGUUUAUCUCAUAGAAACAUAUCAAAAUAAGGAAAUGCGGAAACUUGGAAAUGAAAAUUAUACAAAAGUGUAUAUAAGCCUGCAAAUUAGGUACUUACAUCAAAAAAAUGUGCAUUUAAAAAGGAAAAACAAAUCUAUAAAUAAUAUACAUGUUCAGCAGAUUCGGCUACACAAAAAAAGACCAAUCCAACUGAGAACACAUGUUUUUUUAACCUCCACAGGUGCAUGCUGAACCAAAGCAAGUAAUGAGUAGAGCACCCAAAUCCCCAACCGGAUUAUAAAACAAAUGCAUGAAAGAAAGAUGUAAAGCUCUAUAUUAAAUCAGCUUGUGAAAAUCACACCAAAUAGUAUACAUGAAUGAGGAUGGAAAUAAACAAAUAUAAUAUGCUCAGACUCCGCCCGACCAUCAAAGAUUAUUACAUUGGCACGGAAGCCUUCUUGAUUAAUAAUGCUAUCUGAGUUAUAACCUAUAUGCACACCCCAAACAAAAUAAUCUGCAGUUGAAGUUUGUAUUGUCAAUAUCAAGGCCUUACAUUUUAGAAUGCAAAAAAGCAAUAAUAAAUGCAUAAAACUACCUAUUAAUCAUCAUAAUAGCAAGAAAGUGUAGCAGAUAGUGUAAACGGAAACGACAACAGAGAGUUCUUUGGGAAAUCAUUGUCCGAAGUAAAUAUUUUCUGUACUUUCCUCAGCUUAUCAUUAGUGCCUCAUAGAAGAACCAGAAAAUAGAAAGUGACGGCAGGGAAAAUAUUCUUCAAAAAAGCAGGAAAUAAAUUAGAUGGUUCUAUUAUGCUCAAUGAAAAUACCAUAAUAGACAAUGAUAAAUGAAUAAAAAAACAUAAUCCAAAGAAUCGUCAAAAGAAUAUGCAUGCAAAAAAAGUCCGAGGAAGAAUUCAAUUCAAAUGCCGAUAGCCAAACGAAAAAAAGUAUUUAAAAUGUCAAUAAGCAGGGAAGAAUCCAAACAGUUGCAUAAAUUCUGUUGUAAAACCAAUUUAAAGAAUCGCCCAAAAAGGAGACAAAAAGGUAAGGCUCAGUUAAGUCGAAUCGGCAACAUUGCUCAUAAGUACUCGGCAAGAUUGGUCAUAAGUAUAGGGUAGUAGUAGGAGCAAUAGAUUACCGUAGGAGGGAAAUGUGCGCAACCGCCAAGGAUAAGGAUGGUAAGAAGCGGCUCCCGAGCAAGGGUAAGACAAUAUGAAGCGGUUGCCCAUGAGUAGGCCAUCCAAACUUCCACUCGUUCGAAGUAAACAUAUUCCACACUUUGCGGUUGCCGAGCAAUAAAUUACCGUCAGAGGGAAAUGUGCGCAACCACCAAGGCUAAGACAAUAUGAAGUGGUUGCCUAUGAGCAGGCCGUCCAAACCUCAACUUGUUCGAAGCAAAUAUUUUACGCACUUCCCUCAACUUAUCAUCAUCGCCUCAAAGAAGAGCUAUCAUCAUCGCCUCAAAGAAGAAAGAAACAGCAAGGAAAAUAUUCUUCAACAAAACAAAAAAUAAAUUUUUAGGAGGAAAACAAAAUCUUCAAGAUGGUUCUAUUACACUCAAUGAAAAUACUAUAAUAGACCAUGAUAAAUGAAUAAAAAACAAAAUCCAAAGAAUCGUCAAAAGAAUAUGCAGAUUGGAAAUUUAGUCAACAGGAUUGCCAACAGGGAUGCAAACUAAAAGAGUCCAAUAGUAGGCCAUCCAAAGUGUGCUCAUAACCAGCUAAGAAGGGUCGGGUCGACCCCAAUCAUAGAAACUAUCCGAUAUUUAAGGGGAAGGUCAUCAUAGAUACAAAGAACGGGGAAAAAAAAUAAAUAACAUUCCAAUUCAGCUAGGCAAUCCAGAAUUCAGCUUGGGAAUUCGAAACUCAGCUAGUCAAUCCGGGACUCCAUGAAGAAUCCUAAAUUCAGCUAAAAAAAAGCAAAUCUACAUAAGAAUAAGAGUAAGUCAAAAAGUCGAGAGUUUCAACAAACAACAAAUACUAAACCAAGGCCAAAAAUCUCGGGAAUCACACGAAAAACCCAAGGUAACGUUUGCAAAGAAGAGAAGAGUAGCAAGGCAAAAAAUAAAGGGGAGGACGAAAAUUUUCAUAAUAAAUCAGUUCGUGUUCAGAUAGUCAAUUCAGGAUUACAUGAAGAUUUAUAAAUUCAGCUAAAAAAAAAAAAAGCAAAUCUACGCAAGAAUAGGAGUAAAUCAAAAAGUCAAGAGUUUCAACAAACACCAAAUACCAAACCAAGCCAAAAAAUCUUGGGAAUCAUACAAAAAAUCCAAGGUAAUGUUUGCAAAGAAGAGAAGAGUAGCAAGGUAAAAAAUUAAGGAGGAGACAAAAAUUUUCAUAAUAAAUCAGUUCGCGGGAACCAUACCAAAUAGACUAAAUGAAUAGAGACGAAAAUAAACUCUUAACAAAUAUGUAGUAACAGAAACAAAACCUAAUAGUAAAAAUAAAUAUACUUUGCUCAGAUUUUCCCAUCUAUCGAACAUUAUUAGACCGCCGUCAAAUUAGUUUUCUGCAUACGGGUGAGCAACCGGUUGCCUACAAAGUAGGCCAUCCAAAGUGUGCCCAUAACCAAUUAAGAAGGGUCGGGUUGACCCCAAUCAUCGAAACUAUCCGACAUCCAAGGGGAAGGUCAUCAUAGAUGCAAAGUAUGGGUGGGGAAAAAACAAAUAACAUUCCAAAAGUAAGGAGCAUGGCAGGACAAAAUCAUAUAAAAGCGCCAACCUGAUGACGAAAAUCGAGCCUCAUGAGCAGCAGGCGAAGAACAAAUUGUAAUUAUUCAAAAUAACAGUUUAAAUCAACGGGAAAUAAAACCAACAAAUACGUAAACUCAAUGGGAGGAAAUUAAGUUUUGUCAAACACCAACAACAAAUCUGUGAAAGAGCAAAAUAUGUCUCCUCCAAACUCCCAAGAGUGAAAACCGAAGCAUAAAACCAAUGUUCGCAAACCACGACAAAUAGCAUAGACGAAUUGCGAUGAAAAUAAACCAUUCGUAAAUAUAUUGUCACGCCCCCGCCCCGAGACCGCUAACAAUUUGGUCCGGUUCGAGCGCGGCGAACGAACGCCGAACGGACAGCACCUCCCCUGUCCGCUCAAGGCUCAAACGAGAUUGUGUACAACGAGUUCCCAGGAAAACACUUGAAUAUAUACACAAUCAUACAGCAACUAGCGAGAGCACAAACAGUGCUAUACAAUCCAAGAGCAAGCAACACGAGUAAAGCAUACAAGUGAUAAAAGAGAGAUAUACUUAACUAUUUAAACUCAUUUAACUUUAAUACAUUUAUUACAAUUUGCAUUCUUCCAAAACAUGUAUAUGUAUAUACAAUCCUUUCAAAAUCUCACCCUAUACAUCAACUACUCUCAAACAUAACAUAGGGUAAAGCUAAUGCAAGAGAAGGUAAAGCUAUCACUACUACCACUAGGGCGCUAUGCCCUUGCCGCGAUCCUCGCGCUCACCGGGGACACUCGAACUCGGACCUGUAGAGAGUGGGGUGAGAACUAUCUUCCAUAGUUCCCAGUGGGUUCGGCCGCCGACUCCGCCGAUCUCCCUACUAGGUCUAAGCAGGCACAGAUAGAUAUGCAGAUAGAUAGGUAUAUGAAAUUGAAAGCAUCAACGAUAAUAAGCAAAUAUGAAAUCACAAUCUGUCAAUGCCUCAAUCCAAUAUCAUGAAUGCAUGAACUUGUAGUAAGGCUAACUACUAUGCCACUAUAUUCAAGGAUAGCGUUUACUCGUCAACUUGUCCAAUCGAUCGGCUAAUCCGAAACUUGUUCUCAAUCUCACGUGUGUAAGCCUCAUAGGGAAAAGCCUCGCUGAACUAUUCCCCGAGACUGCCUGUGGACAGCUCGCAGACUGUCCGGGCAGUUAUUUGGACUGCCCCUCUAGUAACAAAUACUCCGGAGUGCACAGCUUGUGGGGAGCGACCCUUACAAGCGCAGACAGGCUAUGUGAGCACGGUCCAAUCCUUGUGAAUUGGGAGCACCCUACCAACUAGGGAAAUCAACUUAGAACCAAUAAGUAUCUAACUCAUCAAUCUAGUGUUUCAGCUACACUAAGAUUUUCAUAUGCCACUUGUCAUAAGUUUACAUUGACUAGGUGCCACUCGUCAUAAUUUAAAUGUUCUCGAUGCACUACUUGUACACUAUCACUAGGUUAUCCUUUACCUAGGUUCAACUCACCAUACAACAUCACAUAUAGGGUAUUAGGCUAGAUCACAUCAUUCUCAUACAUACUAGAAUCAAUAACUAACUCACUUAGUUACACGACCACUAGCAUGCAAGUAUAAACAACAAUAAUAACCAUCUAACGCCUAUAUGUAUCAUGCUCAAUAUGCAUAUUAGGUCAACAAUAAACUCAGACAUAGGGAGCAGUUCAACUGCUUCGGGAUGGCACCCGCCACCUCUUUGGUAGUGCUGCAAGGGUUGAGAAAACUUGACUUCGCGAUCCUAAGUCGUCGCCUCGACUCCUCGGGCCAAUACAAACCCUCGAGUGCUUGUUUCGGCGAUAUCCCCGCACUCGCUCGUCGUAUCGACGAACCGUCUUCGCCCCCGCGUUCAGAGACCUAACAAUUAGGUUUGCGACCCAUCAAAUUAGAUCAAAACCCUAGAUUUCCAAAAACCCCAAAUCCGUGCCCUAUGUUGGCAACAACGGAGAAAUCCAUGGUUCAAGCCUCGGAUUCGAGCUAGAACCAUCUAUUAUACUCCAAUAGGUUCCAUUCGAACCAUCUCCAAAGUAUAAAACCCAAGCUCAAAGAAUCCACCAUGGUAGGGUUUUGAGCUUACCUCUAAAAGCUUCUCCAAGUUUGGGGGAGAGAAGGAAGAAGAUGAUCUCCAAGCUCUGUCUUCUUCUCCAACUUCUCCUUCUUCUUCUCCCCCUUCUUCUUCUCCUUUCUUUUCUCCUUUUCCUUUCUCUUGUUUCUAGAGAGAGAGUGAGAGAAUGAGAGUGUGGGAGAGGGAAAUGAGAGGGUAAGUGAGAGGAAGGGCCCCCAAGCCUCUCAUUUAGGCAUAAUUGCAGAAAACCCCCUCAACAUUCCAUCCAUGAAACAGCCCUGCCUGGCCAUUUUUUCGCAGUGAGGGACCGGUCCCAAGUCGGGGAGACCGGUCCCCGAGAGCCUUCCAUGCUGCAGAGGGCUUCUGCCAACAAUUUUUGCGUUCGGGAACCGGUCCCUGCUCGAGAGACCGGUCCCCGGGAGACCGGUCCUUGCCUGAGAGACCGAUUCCCGAGAGCCACACUUUUGGGACUUAGCCAAUUUUUGGCUUCUCACCAUUUUCGCACACGGGGGACCGGUCCCCCUAAUCCUGGGAUCAGUUGCAUCAAGCUAUCCCCGCAACCCAUAGCCUCGGGGACCGGUCUCUCCCUGCCAGGGACAGGUCCCCGAGAGCAAAUUCUGCCCAUUGCAGAUUCUGCACUAAUGCUCUCGCGGACUCUUUCUUAAUGCACUUUAUACAUUUUAAUCACCUUCGGACUUUCCAAAGCCUAUACACUCGACAAUUAGUUGAUUCUACACGAAGUCUAAUCCUCGGAUUUCGAGAAUUCACUUCCCUUACAUAUAUAGUAGUGAAAACAAAACCCGACAGCGGAAAACAAAUAUAUUUUGCUCACACUCCAGGUAGAUAAUUUAGAGUUCACCUAGGCAAUCCAGUAUUCAACCUAGUAAUUCAGCAUUCCCUGACGAAUGUAGGGAAAAUAAAUAAACUUUACUCAGACUCCUCAAGCUAUUAAACAUUAUUAGUUUCGCACCGAAGCCUACUCAGUUAACAGCGAUAACUGCAUAAGAUCCCACACGCAAAUCGAAAGUAUUCGGAGUACAAAUAAGAGCAACCGGUUGCCUACAAAGUAGGAUGUCCAAAGUACCCCUAUGACCAACCAAGAAUGUCCCCGAUUCUCUCAAUUAUUGCAACCAUUUGACAUUCAAGGGGCAGGUCAUCAUUUUGAAUUCGAACCUUUUAUAUGCAUCAAAUAUCUUGAAGCAAUUCAGAUCAAAAUUCUGAGCUCUAAACUUUUAUAUGCAUCGCAUAUCAUGCUUUUUCUUAUUUUUGGGUUUCGAUCAAAUCUGAGGAUGACUGAGCUAUUUAGGAUAAGGGGCUAGAUAGGAAGAUCAUUGAUAAGCUACAUCAUUACUAUAGUUCUGAACUUGCUGUAAAGGAGUUUGUGUAUAAUAGUGAAGAAUGUUAUUUACAUUAGGACCUCCCCCACAAAAUAAUUUCGAGAAUUCAGAAUUCAUAUUCACAAUUCACAAUUCAAAAUCCAGAAUACAAUUCACAAUCCAAAAUUCAAAAUUUACAAUGCUAAUUCAUAUAAAAGGUUGCUUAUAGAGAUCGCAUUAAACCAAACAAAACAAUAGCACUAAAAAGGUCCAGAUAAAGUUUCGAAAUUCAAGGUAUGUAGUAUCGGCAUCAAACCAUACAAUUGAAGACGACAACAAAUUAUAUUAGAUGGAAAAGAAAAUCAGGAUUAUAAAAAUUUGAUGAGAAGCUAAAUUUUUCUAGCUGAGAUACACAACAAAAGCAAAUAAAACACCUAAGUAAAAACAUCCAGGGAUAAAACACCUAAAUAUUAUAUAAGCAAAUAGAAUAAUUGCCAGAAAAUUAUGAAAUAUGAAAUAAUUAAAUAAAUUUGUUGACAGCUUAAUGCUCUAUCAAUGCUUGAUGUAGAGAUGUUGGUCUUUAAUAAUUAUCAAUCGAUCAGUAGAAAGGCAAGCAGAGGAAAUGAUUCUAAACUUUGAAUGAAAUUCGUAUUUUCUGAUAAGCUUUUUAAAUAAACUAUUUCAUAACUGCAACAGCAUUAAACCAAAGAAUAAUCAAAAUAAUGUAACGAAGAACAAAGUAGACCACAGGAAAAAAACUAAUCACUAAAUAGCAUACAAAAAAUAAAUAAACUAUGACUUCCUAUCAAUCAAAACUAAGUACAGAAAGAACAAUUACAAAGUAGGGAAGAUAGUAGGCAGCCUGAGCAAAAACCAAGAAAAUAGAAAGAAUCAGUUAAAGAAUAGUUUAGAAGCUACGACCUGAAGCUCAGCACCCCAAACAGUAUAAAAGCAAAACUUUAAGGCUCAAGUAUCAUGGCAAUUCUACCACCCAUUUCAUUUAAGUUACUGAAUUUUUAUUUUUCGACCUCCAACAGUUCAUACAACAAAAUGAUUAAAGAGAACCAGAUUGGCUUAAAAUCCAUUUGAAUUGGUUUUGUUUGGUUUUUUCAAAAUUAAAAACCAAAAAGUUUCAUGUAGAACAUUGGUGAAAUCAACCAGAAAUAGUGUGACAAAUCAGAGACUGGUCUACUUAAAAAACAAAAAGUAAAUAAAUAAAGAAACAAAGUAGACUGGGAGGGAGCAAUAUUUAAAAUAAAAGUAAUACCAACUGUGCAACAUAUCAAGUAUUGGAAAGCUUGCAAAACUUAUAAAUAGGUAGGCAAGAGUAGCUUUGCUGAGGAAAGAGGCAACAACAAUUACUUGUAAGAAUGUAGGAAGAGAUAAUUCUCAUAGAACACCACAGCAUAGAAAAAAACUUGUAUUGACCAUCACUGCCUCUCUCAAAUAAAUAAAACACUUCAGUGUUAGCUGCAAAUUAUGAUAUUGAAGCUUCAACACGUUAUGUGCAUAUAAAAUGGCCAAAUUUGUAGACUUAGAUAGAGCCAUGCUUUAGCAUUAAUUUUAUGUAGAGAUAGGCAAUUAAGAGUCUGAUAGUAACUCAUAAAAUAAUUAAUUUUACCAUGUGAAUAGGCAGGCAACCAAUAUAUCACUGUUUUUCAAUUUCUACGGUAGUAGCAAAAUCUAAACACUCAAAGUAUUAAGAAAGCGAUGGGUCAAAAAAUCUACCUCAGAUCAGUAUUUUCUCUAGUUCCUAUAGAAACCAUAACUACUCAAAAAACUAAACUAUGUAAAAUAGAAUAAAUCUAGAGAGUAUAAAAUAACAUUCAAAAAAAAAAUUUAGAACGCAACAUGGAAAGAAGGCUCAGAUUCAAUAUUAAUUUACAUGCCAAAAUAGUUUCUACUCUUCUCUUCAAGUGCAAAUCAAACUUUUGUAAAGGAUUGAAAGCUGCAGUGGUUGCCAUGUGGCCAUCCAUACUGCCUCGCCGUCCAAACCUUAUAAUAUGAAUUUGAAAAAUACUUAAAAGAGAAGAUAGAGACCUUAUGAAGCUUCAUCAUCAAUGUAUGAAACCUAUAAUCAAGCAUCGAACUUCUGAAUACAUUGUGAUGUUUCAACUCAUCAUCAUCGCCUAUUAUCAGAAUUCUUUUUCAAAUAAAAAUGCUUGACUUUUUUUUUGGAUAAAGUAAGCAAUAAGAAAGAAUAUAUAAGAAUCAUACAAAACAUAAAAUUUCAAUUAAGCAAUAGAUUGCAAGAGCAAGCAUAGCAAAAUAAAAAAAAUAAAAAAUUGAUAGUGGACAGAGAAUCAAAGAAAAGACUCUAGUGGGCAUUUCAUCAAACAUAUGAGGGGCGCAGAAAAAUGAACAAAUUUUGGAGCUCCCCUUGCUCCACCCAGUAGAGAGAGGUAGAGAGAGAGGCAUUAGGGGAAGAGCAAGAGAGGAAUAAGCUUGAAAAUGUGGGUAAAAUAACCAUCGGCUAUGAAUGCGGCAUCGACGCACUGGAGAAAUCGUUGGAGUCAUCGGAGCCAACGGCUAUGGCAUCGCCACUGUCUUUGCCAUCGACGAAGGGGAAUCCUUGUAGGCUUUGAUAGCACCCACAUGGCGUAAGAUCCACACGGCGUAGAACCCACACGGCGCCAGUUCUAGAAAAAAUUGGACAGAGAGCAAACCAUCCAAUUGGGCAAGGAAGUUUCGGCGGCGGCAGGGAUGAGAGGGAGGAAGGGGGAAUGGCAGUGAAGCAGAGAAAAGGGAAGAGGAAUUUUGUGAAAGGCAGUUUCGUACUCUGGCAAACAUGGACAACUCCUUGGCUUGCACAUGGGGAUGGGUGGAAGGAGACAUACCGUAGCACGGCGACAAAGGCCCGGGGUUUACGGGUGGAGUGACAACUCCCCGCAUCCUACGGCAUCUGCGAAGGUUAGCCUUCACGAGAGAAGGAUCGGGAGAGAGGGAUCGGGAGAGGAGGGAUUCGGGAGACAGCGUUCAGGAGACGCGGGUAGGGCGACACGUAGCCGUGCGACCACGUGAGCGCAACUCGCACCCGUGCACGCCGCUGCCACCGCCCGCUGCAGGGGCCACCGAAGCCCCCCCCCGCCAAACGCGGGGAGGCUUCGAAGGGGCGCGAGAGGGAACGGUAGAGGGGGGAUGCUGAGGAGGCGACACGUAGAGCACAGUAGAACUCAAGAAUUAAUAUUUCUAUAGAAAGAUACUAGUUAGUCAGUGUUGAUCAAUGAAAAGACAACAUUCGCUCCCAAGGAUGAAAAUACUAUGUAUAUGAUUUGUAUCCGCUUUAGAGGUGUACCACUUGCAUUGUUAUUUAUCAAAACAGAGAAAUAUACAAAAUGCUCCUAAACUUUUGUACUUGUGUAGAAUAAUAGUAAUAAUAAUUUUUUAAUUUUGGCAAUUAGCUUUUACAAAACUUAUCAUAUACUUCAAUAAGCCCUCUCCUCAAUCAAAGUUGCUAAUUACAUUGCUAUUUUGAUCGCUUGUAUUGGACAUAGUAUUAUAAAACUUAAUUUGAGAAAACAAAAUAAAAAUUAUUUUGCUGAUUUACAUAUGAGUUUGGCUACUAUACUAUCAGCAGUACAAAGACCUCCGUACUAUCAAGUUGUUUUCGGCUCUAUUAGAUUUGAUCUACGUUAUUGAAAGUGUUUGAAAAUUAAAUUUUAUAAUUUUUCAACAUCAUUUAGCUAUUAAACGAGUAGUCUAAAAAUGAAUGGUUGAAUAUAAAAAUCUCAUGAAAUAUGAUAACAAAAUAUUUGAAUUUAAGAUUCGAGAUACUGAUCUUACUCUAAAUAGUGAAGAGAAUUUUUUAUAAAAAAUUCAUCGGAUUUAAAUUGUUUUACACCGUUAAAUUCACAAAUGCAUCAUAUCGAUCAUUAAAAUUAUCAAUUUUGAGACAUUUUGAUCACUAAUAGCAUACAAAAAAAAUAUGAAAUUUGGUUUUAAAAUAUUUCCAAUAGUAUAGAUUAUGUUUAAUAGAACUGAUCAUCGAUUCAGUAGGCGCAUCAUCGAAAACAACUUGGGAGCACGAAUGCCUCCAUGCUAUCGUUAGUAUAGUAGCUAGAUUCUUUAUAUCUUUUAAAGCUAUACAAAAUUAAAUGCAAGACAUAUGAUAAAAAACGAGACCUAAUUUUGUUUUUUUCUUUUUUCGAGUUUGGGCAUCUUAAAGCUGACAAGCAGAUACUUACCCUAUUUAGACUAAGGAACUAUUUGAUUCCAUGUAAAACUACAAAAAAAAUAAUGUUUAUGCAAAAUUUGCAAGCAAUUCAUCAUCCACUUCUAUACUAUUUCAAAUAAAAAUUGGUCUUUUUUUUAAAGAAAAAGACAACAAUGCCAAAGAGGCCAAAAUUAAUCCACCAAGUGAUUAUUUUAAUGUAAAAAUGUUUAAAAUUUAGCUGAACUAUAGACUAUUUUGAUUCGACCAUCUCACUUUUCAAAAUUUUGAUUUUAGUACCCAAUUUUUUAAUUUGUUUGAUUUAAAUAAUUUUGUCGUUAUUUGUACACAAAAUUUAAGCUAAUUGCAUACUUUAAUUAAUUUAUAAUUACUUAAAUUGUAUAAAAUAUAUUAAUUAAACCCAUAAAGAUAAAUGAUGCGUUUAAAUUUUAAAAUUAAAGGGUUAAUAACAGCUUUUUUUAGAGAAAGAUAGCAUGCUACCUGUUUUACUUAUUUUUUUAGAAAUAGACCUAAGUAUAAAUGUGAACUAAUUAGGAUUCGAAUUUGGGACCUCAGGUACCAACCACCAAGCCCCCACUUGUGCUAGGGACAGUCAAUUACAGGUCAUGUAGUUAAAUCAAAAUGGGUUAUACUUGAGAUGAGUUUAUACAUUUUUUAGCUUGCUCUAGAUGGAUACAAGAGUACAGAUUAAUUGAAAUAUCGUAAGACAAGUUUUGAUCCCCUGAUAAAGAAUAUUAAUGUUCCAUCCUAUUAACAUGUGAGAUUUAUCUUCUAUGUCCAAACUGAAUGAUUUACUUUUGACAAUGAUAGUGGGGAAAUCGAUUUUCUUAUCAAAUGAAUUUCAUUCAUCGAAUAGCUGAGUUCGUAAGAUCUUCUUAGACUGUCGGAGGGCGGAAUAAUUUUGUGAUGAUCUUGAUUUCAUUUACCUAGCAAAUAGAUCAAAUUAGUAGAUUGUGUCUCACACACAUACUUAAAAAAAAAAAAAAAAAAAAAAAAAAAGAGGAAACAUGUUGAUUAUAUCAAAAUUAGAAGGAAUCUAUAAUUCUAGUUCGUCUUGGAUAGGGACAUUAUUGCCAAUCUAAUAACUUCUAUAAGAAAUGUUGACAUGAAUAAAAAAGGAGGGGUUAGAAUAGCAUCUACAAAUAUUACCGAAAAUAUUGUUAAAAUAUUUCUACAAGAAGGUUUUAUUGAAAACGUUCAGAAACAUCAGGAAAGUAAUAAAUAUUUCUUGGUUUCAACUUUGCGACAUGGAAAAACCAGAAAAUGAAUAUAUAAAGCUAGAACCAUUUUAAAGCGUAUCAGCCGAUCCGGCUUACGAAUUUAUUCCAACUAUCAACGAACAUUUUAUGUGGAAUGGGAAUUGUAAGUCUUUCUACGUCUCGAGGUACUCCCAUCAAUCCUAUGGCUGUCUGCACAAGAGAAGCCAUAGAUUUUCUGUACUUGUUGACUCCAACACUUCCAGAGAAAAGUAUGAAAGAUUCAAGCUCCGAAGUAGUUCGCACUACAUACUCCAUCUCCUUCGCCAUCCCGCAUACUUUAAACAGAUCGCUAUACUUACUGUUCGAUUUCAUCAGCCAAAUUGCUUGCUCGAUCACAGACCUCCUUAUUCUCGGAAGCUUAACGGUCGAGCCAUCGUGUUUACGUAGUAUCUGCGCAAGUCUGUUCGCGAGCUCCGUCGCUUUAAUGCCUAAUUGAUCUACUUCCUUCGCAUAAUCUUCGGGACCUAUCAGUUUGCAUAUCUCCACGCUGAGGCCGAUUGAGACCUCUAGUAGUUUCCCUUCUUUUGUCAUAAUUGCUUCCAAUACCUGCAUAAAUAAAUCGCAAAAAUAAAAUAUUUCUGUACUUCAAAUUUUUGAAAAAUCUAGUAUAUAUUAUAGGUAAAAAUGCACAGAACUUAUCUGAACUAUCAUUCGUUUUGAAUCGGCUAUUCAAUCUUUCAAAAUUUUAAUUUUACGACCUAUUUUUUUAAUUUUUUUGAUUUAAGUCAGCUGAUGAUACUUUGGUUUGAAAAUUUAAGCUAAUUACUAGCUUCAAUGAGUUUAUAUAUUAGUUGCGAGAAAUAUAUAUAGUAUAGUAACUAAAUAUAUGAAGAUAAAUGAUGCAUUCAAUUUUUUAAUAUCAAAGUAUCAUCAGCUUUUAUGGUACUUAUUAAAGCACAAUGCCCUAAAUUUAUUCUCCAAAUUUAAAAUUUAUCACAAAUUUUUAUUUUUGCAAUUUUAAGUAAUAUUAUUUAACAAAAAAUAGCCAUUGCAUAGCAGGGCAAAAUAUCUUGUUCUUGCAUCACAUGUCAUAUAAUUUCUAUUGAUUGUUAUUUCCAAUCAAUUAAACCAAUCAAAGACAGUCUUACCGGGGGUAGGGCGGCACCAACUCCCCUAAGGCGACUGCAGAACUCCGACCCCGCGUACAUGCACAAAUUCCGCAGCAACUUCGAAGCAGGAACUCUGACGGCACCCACAUCGAGAAGACUGCCAAUCUGCAUCACAACCUCCUCCGACCCCUUUAAAAUCUCCGCACAGUUGCUCUUGCUCUCCGUCGUCAGCAUUGCCAGUGCAUCUCCGGCCUCGACAACUAUUUUCGCCUGCUCGCCCCUACCCUCCGGGCUUAAAAAGUUAGAGAGCAGCAGCUCGAUCACUUGGCCGGUGCUCCCGAUCUCCUCCUCGCAGCCUUUUCCAUCGCAAGGCCGGUAAGGAUCUCGAUCCCCAACAUCGACAGUGCGGGAUGGCACUUCCCGUACCUGAGGAUGUCCCGAAGGUUGAUCACCGCAAAGAUGUUAUCCGAUAUCUCCUUCCGCAGCAAUCUCCCUGUCUUGCCGGCCGUGCUUACUAGUCUCAUCACCACCUUCAGCGAUCUCUUUACUAAUGUGAUCCGUACCACCGGAACCCGCUCGUCUUGCAGCAGGCUUGGGCUAGUUCUGGUGAACUCUAUUAUCUUCGGGAGGAGGCCUCUCGUGUUCCGGAUUUGUCUGCAGUUGUCGACGUCAUGGGAGAGGUGCUUGAGAAUGUGCAGGCCGAGCAGGUUGAACGCAUAGUAUGUUUCAUCGUGAUCAUCCUCGCGCUUACCCGCGUGGAGCAGCGAAGCUAUGGACUGCAUUGCUCCAGGAAUCCCGAUGACUCGGAGCACCCUGCGCCUGUCACCAGCCAGCCUGGCCACGACCCUCGCAGCGUGCAGUCUGAUCUCCUCGUCCGCCGGACUUUUCCACCCGAGCAUCGCGACUAACCUCCGAACGGUCUGCGCGGAGGUUACAAUCCGGUCGACUGUGUCGUCGGCGUAGAGCUCGUGCAUGACGUAACUAUAGAGGAUCCUGGCGCCGAUGAGCCGCUCACCGCGGGACUCCGAAUUGACGAGCGCCAGCGCGAAGGAGGUCAGGUCCAUGUCGAGGGCGUCGAACACGCUCCCAGAAAUGCAUUUCCAAUAGGCGUUGUGGAAGAAGCGGCGGAGGGAGAUGAUCCCCGAGGCACCGAAGCCGCAGGCGCGGCGAGUCUGCUCGAGCAGCUGGCCGUAUGAAAUUUUCCAAUGCCAGUAGGCCUUCUCUAUGAGGAACAGCAGAGCCUGCGCCAGCGCCAGCCCAUAGAAGAUGUCGAGCGCCGGUGCCCGGUUCCUUUUGGUGGCGUCUUGAUCCACGUCGCCGUAGUGCUGCUCCACGAGGCGCAUCGCGGAGAGCGCGGCGCACGCGGUGGCUGACAAGAGCUGCAGCGACGUGAGGAUCCACCCGACAUUCCCGGAGACAGAGCAGGGCUCGGCCUUGGUGGCCCGGAAGAAGAACCCGGAGUCGAGCUCGUGGUUGCGGGUGAACACGCGGGUGCCCUCGAUGAGCACGAUGGUGGUCACGAAGUAGAAGUCCUUGGGCUGCAGCAGCACCGCAAAGCCGCCGAGCAGCACGACGGUGGCCCAGACGAACGCCAGCGUGCCGACGCCGCUGGCGGCCUUCUCCAGGAUGGCGAUGCGGAGGGCGAAGCGCGUCAGCUGCCUCUCCGGCGCCGCCGCUGAUGCAGCCGCAUCAUCGUCGUCGCUGUCGUCGUAGCCGCCGCCGCCGCCGCUCCUCUUCUUCCUUCUGCGCCCGUUGCGGUCCGACUCCCGGUCGGAGUAGGUGGCGCCCCAGUCGUUCGGGUGCUCGAUGACGUCGAGAAUGCUUCCGGCUCUGUCCAGACGUCGAGCAGCCAGACCUGCAGACCUCAACCGCCGCAAUUCCUCUGUUACGCGCCCUAGUCGGUAUUGAUCUCCCCAAGUUCUCGCAACAGGCCGCUGCACCUCAGUGACGUCUACUCCGUCCUCCUUGACAUCUAAGACGACUUCCACAAAGUCGUCGGGGGCAGCUAAUUCUGCUACAGCGUCGCCGCCGCACUCAGCAAGUUCUUGAUCGUUCGAAGUUUGCGCCAUUAAUUUUGAGCGGAUCUCAAAUUACUACGGACGUAGAUCUACAUAUACAGAUGUAUGUAUGCAUAACUGUGCGUUGACCAACCAAACAAAAUGAGGAUUCUCUUCAUAUAUUUUGCAUAAUAUUCUAAUCCUUCAUGCUGGUGGCUCCGAAAUGGGAUGAGCUGGCGUUGUCUCUUCUUAAUUAGUACUGCCAAUGGCACGUAGAUAUAAUUUGGACUGUAUUUUUUUUAAAAAAAUAUUAGAUGACUUUUUCAAUAUAUAUAUAUUUUUUAUAUUUUUUCAUAUAUAUAUAUAUAUAUAUAUAUAUAUAUAGAGAGAGAGAGAGUUGAGCUAGAAUACUCUCGAUAGCAAACGGGGCGUUUUACUAUCGAGUUGUUUUCGAUGAUAGAGCUUCCAAAUUGACGAUCGGCUCCGUUGAACAUGAUCUAUACCACUUGAAGUGUUUAGAAAUCAAAUUUCAAAUCUUUUCGACAUCAUUUGCCUAAUAAUCAAAGGGUUUCAAAAUUUGUAAUUUUAAUGGUGGAUAAGAGACGUUUUCUCGUUUAACGGUGUAAAGAUAUCCAAAUCAAUUGAAUUUUUGUUAGAAAAUUCUUUAAACUAUUUAAAACAAGAUCUAUACUCUUGAUCUUGAUUACAAGAUUCUAUCGAUCAUUUUUAAGAAUAUUCAUUUUCAGCCAUUUAUUUUUGUUCACUAGAUGGAUAAAAGACACAAUAUUCGAAAAUGCGUGGAAAUUGUGAUUGUUAGAUAGUUUAAAUGCCGUUUGAUCAUAUUUAAACGAGCGAUCGUACAAAUUUUGUACAGCGUCUAUCAUCAAAAGCAACUCGAUAAUAAAACGGCCCGUUUACUAUCGGAGAGUAUUCUAUGCCUCAACUCUUAUAGUAUAUUAUAUAAUUAUAUAUAUAUAUAAUAUAUAUAUAUAUAUAUAUAUAUCUAUAUAUAUAUAUAUAGUGAGGCUACGCGUGCGUUGUAAAAGUACCAAAACUUGGUCGGCUAUGUAAAUGUUUUUAUACCCGUUAGAUUUUCUGGCCUUUGAUCAUUUUUUUACCCAUUUAGAUUUAUACUAUUCAACCAACCAACCCACUCAAACUCUAGGGGGCCACAUCAUCCUAUACCGCACAUCUUUAAUCAUAGGGCCGAAAACUUACAAGCACCAAAUGCUUGAUACUUUUAAAAGCACUAGGAGCUCAUUUAUAUAUAUAUAUAUAUAUAUACAUAUAUAUAUAUAUAUAUAUAUAUAUAUAUAUACUACUUAUAAAAGCGUGAGUUUUGAUUUUUUUUUUUCUAAAAUUGUUUCUAUCCUUUUUACUAAUAUUUUCAUACCUAGUAAUUUUCAACCAAUCAUUUCAAAUAAUUCACUAAGUAAUAAUUUAUUCUCAAAUAAAAAUAUUAAUUUGUUGCCAUUAAAUCUUAUUUAACGAUUGAAAAUAAAAGUAUCUAUGUAGUAUCCUUGUUUUAUUUAUUAUGUAAUUAAUUAGUUUCUUUGAGUGGGUUGCAUACUAAUUAUGGUGGCUUGGAGCCACGUGUACCCAUGCAUGCUCAUCAACAUGCAUGUGCUUAGCAACUUGCACGUACACCCCCUCUCAUUGCAUGCAUAUCUGUUUAAUUAAGGAGGGUGUGCAUGCACUUCACUAAUUAAGUCUCUCGUUUCUCUCUCUUUCUCGUGCGACUGAAGCAGGGGACAAGCUUGAGGAGUGCCGCGGAGAGAUUUCGUUGUCGACGUCGCGCCGCGGAACCGAUCGAGCACGUACUUGAUGUCGGGGCAGCGCGAGGAAGCUGUGUGAGCGCGAGUCGUUGCUGUUAUCGUCGACCCACCGGACUUGAACAGCGGGUGUGGUGAGCUAUUCUCCAAUUCCUCCGAGGUUUCAGCUGAUUCUGCUAUUUCUACUCGAAAUGCUAUUUUGCUGAAAUUCACCGUUGACCGUGGGUAUUUCAGCUUGUACGCGACGUAGGAAUGUCGGAUCGCGACGAGACUUGGUUCCUUGGAUUCGGGACUUCGAGAGGAAUCCAUGAAACCCUUAUUUUCCAGAUUUGGUGAAGGUUAGCUUGGUCAAAUCCUUGUUGUACUCCACUGCUGCAAAAACUGGACUGAAACGGUGAAUUGUUUGGUGUAGAGCUUGGAGUUAGCGCGAUUCUUGGGUUCGAAGGGCUACGAUCGACCCAGCAGGUGGCGCCACAGCUGUGAGAGUGUACCGCUGCCAGGGGAUAGCUUUCGAGGUGGGUUUACAUCUGUUUAUUCCUAAGUACCGUAAUCGUCGACAUGUAUGAUUUUUCAGUUUUGGUAAUCAUGUUGUAGCUUGAUGUUCGUGAUGCUAUCCUGGAUAAAAUCAGUAUUGAGAACAUGACUAGUAAAUCUUAAAUGUACUAGUCUGGACCAGAAUUUGGACUAGGAUGAAAACCACGAUUUGAAAUCGGCAUGUAUGUUAAACUGACCUGAUUUAGCUCAGCGCAGUUAAUAAAUUAUGUACUGCGCAGUUGUCCUCAAGACGGUACUCCAGUAGUUUAGGAAUAUAUUUACGCCCGUCUGGUAUGCAGGAUAAUUUUUACAGGCUCCUUCAGUUGUUCCGGCACUGGGUGGGGCUGCAGAAGUGAACGGAUGACCGUGUCACCUUUUUGCGUCAGAUUGUAGGGCCACGUUACCCUGUUGGUUGUGUAGACCAGUUUGAGUCAGUUACUUGCUUUUGGCUAUGAGUAGCCUGCAUUACUGAGCUACGACAGAGAUAACUUUGCUGCAUACUCGGUUGGGUAGCCGCACGAGUCCACUCCGGAGUCAGCUUUGUGUUUCCGUGGUGUCGCUCAUGCCAGUUGGACUUGCUCUCCACGACCAGUUGUGGGAUAGAGCCCGAUAGUCGCAACGGGGCAGGGACGGGUGUAUUCACAGUCCCAGGGACGGGUAUGUUUACAGUCCCGAUUGGAUUGGGUCAGAUUUGGCAUGUCCUACAGUUGGUUAGUGUAGAGCAUGAUAGUGUAGUGACUUGUAGCGAUUGAGUUAUUUCCUGCAUUUUUCCUACUAUCCUGGCUCCCUUCUGUAGACUUAGUGGGUGGACCGAUGUUGUUUUGGGCGGCACCCACUGAGGACUACUUAUUUUUACAGUAGUUCUCACGCCCAGAUGUUACCCCUGUUUUGUAGAGCCACAGGUUUCGGCUGCUGCGCCUUCCGCGGAUCAGGAUCGAGGCAAGGACGUCGCGAGUUAGAGCCCUACCCGCUGAGCAGAGCUAGAGGCACCCUACUGCAGGUAGUUGUUUUACUUCGAGUUUAUGUACAUAGUACUUAACUCGCCAGUGCGAGUGAUGCUGUAUUUUAGAUUCUGAACUAUGUAUAUGAAGCUCAGUUUGUUUAGCUUUUGUUUACUCGAGCAGCUCUAUACUACUGUUUGUAGUAUUGUUUGAUUUACAGGUACUGAUGUCGCUUCGUAUACAAGGGAAAUUCCUUUGUAUACGGCGGAUUUGUCGGCGUGGCCGGAGAAACGAGACAUCCGGGGCGUGACAGAUUAAGUUGGUAUCAGAGCUUAGUUGUAGGUUGUUGGGACCUAGAAACCCUAAGUUGGCAAACCUUAGGAAGGCAAGACGUGAGAGGCGUGAUUUAUCGCGAAAGUCAACGAUUUGUUGUUCUAACUCCUCCUAGAGUGGAGUGAGUGAUUGGAGGAGUUCCUGUUUUGUCCUGAGAAAUUAUGUUGGCUGCAGACGACAUAAUUUUGGGAGGAAAAUAGGGACCGCCUUCUAGACUUUCGGUUGAUUGGGUCGAGAGUGUUUUGUUAUAUCUGACCCCGAUUUGUUUCUUUUAGCUAUGUAUCGUCGCCGAGGUCGACCGUCGUUGCGGGAGCGUGCCCAGUUGGCACGGGAUCGUGCUGAACCUUCUGAGAGACCUGAGCAGAUGGAGCAGAGUGCUCGGCAGGAGCAGAGGGACAGACCGGAGGCGAGUGCACCCCCUGUUGUGGAGCCGAGCGUGCGACCUGAGGCUAGCACACCCCCUGAUCUGAGUGCACAGUUGGCUGCCCUGACUGAGGUGACGAGGCAGUAGGGGGAGUUGUUGCAGAGGUUGUGUGAGAGGAUAGCUCAGUCACCGAGUUCAGCACCGAGUAUACCAGAGCAGAUUGUUUCCCCACCGACUACUCCAGCGUCAGCUCCAGCCGCAGCUAUGCCCCCACCAGUGGAGCUUCCUACAGCGCCAGUUGCGCCUGCUAGGGGACCCGUACAGUUGACAGAGGCCGAGCAGGAGCGAUGGACGGAGAGGUUGGCUCGUUUCCGCCGUUUUGACCCACCCAUUUUCGAUGGUAGCGACACUGAGGCCUGGGUUGUUGAGGGAUGGGUCAGUGCGAUGAAGAGGUUAUUUGAGGAUCUGUUCGUUCUAGAGGGGGAGUAGGUCUCACUUUGAUUUCCGGCAUUCGUACCCGUACUCUUUUUGAUACUGGAGCCUCACAUUCUUUUGUUAGCCGAGCAUUUGCAUUGUUGCAUGGUCUAGAGUUAGGGGCAUUGUCAAAGGCACGAGAGGUGCAGAUCCCGGACCAUGUUUUACAGGUUGCAGAGUGUUGUUGGUCAUGCCCGGUGCAGUUGGAUUCGUGGAUCAUGCCCGCAGACCUGUUGGUGCUAGGGCAGCUGCAGGACUUCGACGUUGUGCUCGGUAUGGAUUGGCUGGCGCGGUAUUAUGCUACCAUCGACUGUGGAGCGAGGACGGUGACGUUUCGCGAGCCAGGCCAGAAGGAGUUCACUUUCAGAGGCUGCAGGAGCACGCUGUUUGCCACCUGGAUAUCUUCGGCGAGGGCUCGACAGAUGCUGAGUAGCGGGUGUAUUGCUUUCUUAGCGACAGUUGUGGAGGUANNNNNNNNNNNNNNNNNNNNNNNNNNNNNNNNNNNNNNNNNNNNNNNNNNNNNNNNNNNNNNNNNNNNNNNNNNNNNNNNNNNNNNNNNNNNNNNNNNNNAUUUAUUAUAAUAAAUUUAUAAAUUUUUUUAAAAUUCUACUUAAACUUAAAUUUAAUAAAAAGAAUUUAUUAUAAUAUUUAAAUAUAAUUUAUUAUAAAUUUUAUUAUAAUAUUUAAAUAUAAAUAAUAUGUAUUAAUAUAGUACAAUUAAUAAUUUUAUAAUAAAAAUAACGUAUUUGUCACGCCCCGGGACCCGGCAUAGGCCCGCUCGGUGCGUGCUCAGACUCGCCAUAUGGCUGCACAUAUAAGGCGUUUACAACAAAAGAGAUAUGGAAGCAAGAAGAAAUAAAGUCACUAGAGAUAUCAGAACUACUAACAGCAAAUAGAGAAAGGGGAAAGUAAUCUAUUAAACAUAAAGAUAAAGUAAGUAUAAGAGUUAUCACAAAAAUACUACAAAAAGGGUGGUCUCUAUACAAGGUAUAACUCUCAUCCUCUCCCAAAAAGAAAACAAAGAAGAGGUAGACCACCUAUCGAACGUCCUUCGCUCACAAGCUAGCUCGUGGCGAUUCUCUUUCCGCGGUCCCUAACCUCGCCCGGAGUGGAAGGCUCUGAAAUAGAAACAUAAAAUAGAGGGCGUGAGAACUAUAAUUUAUAGUUCCCAGUGGGCAAUUACUGACCUCAGCACAAUGCACCACUAGGUCCAAUGAAAAUGGUAAGUAACGAUAAUAUUAAACAAUAAUAAGUUGCUGAAUUGAAAAUAUGUAUGAAAUGCAAUACUACUAUGCCACAGGAUAUAUGAUGUGUAACCAUUCUAUCAAAAUGAAAUAAGUCCAAUGCAUAGCUCGAAUGUUCUAUGAUGGCAACAAGCAUACUAAGAUGUAAUGAGUAAUACUAUCAAGUAUACUAUGAGUCUAUCCCAAUAUCCACCACUAUGCGGUAAGCAUGUCCAAGUAUCCAACUACUAUACCCUAUCUAGUAGUGAUUAAUCUUUGUAAGCUGGUGUCACGGUUCGAUCUCAUUUGGAACCUACACAAGUGUAGUCCAACUUGUGCCGCCUAAGUGUCGAUGGUAGCUCCAGCAUUCCUACUCUGGAAAUGAGUCUAUCCCUCCCGACCCCGUAGGUUUCUCGAUACCGCACGAGCGAACACAAGUCGCGUAGGCCAACUUCGAAGUGCCGGCUUAUAGGGAGCGACCCUCAGAAGCAUGUGCGAAUGAGUACAAAAGGCAAACAAACGUAGUCAAUAGCUCAAGUAUCCAAUCAUCAUGUCUCUAACAUUGUAGUAGUACUAGUAACCCAUCGGUCUAGAUCAAAGUCUCAAUGUGAUGUUCCAACACUCACCUUGCUUAAUGUUUCUUUAUGACACUUAAGCAUGCUAUAAGUUAAGCACAUUUUAUUUCUAUGUUCCCAUUAUGACAUUAACACUUUGUUCAUACGUGACUCGAGCUCAAUGCCGCUUAAUAGCAUUAGCCCAAUUAUUCUCAAGUAGUACCAGUCCCCAAGCCUCUUUAUGGCUUACUUAGAUUCCUUAUGUCUUAAUUAGGCAUAGGUUUAAAUGCAUGAAAACAACGCUCGUCUCUACAAUAGGAACGUGAUCCCAAAGCUCACACAAGAAUGUUGAAUGCAACAUAAGCCCACAUGCAAACUCUCUACUACAUAGAGGUCCGAAAAUUUAUUAUACAUAACAUAGGUAUGUUAAGCAUUCUAAAAUUGACAAUAAAUAUAUUUAUCAUGAAAAUACAUGAAUUUCUACUUUACGAAGUAUAAACUAUCGGAUAUGAGGAUUUCUCAUAUUCUAGGCUAGGUCAAACCCACCGAACAACCCGCAACCCUUCGUUUGCUCCAACGAAGGUGUCCACUAAGCUCCUAGCACCCUAGAAGCAUCAAAAAGUGAGCUACAAGAAGUAAACGAACAACUACUAGCUCAAACAUUAACCAGCAAGACAAAAUGGCCAAAAUCUCACCUAUAGUGAAGAAAUUCCUUUUCAAAGCUCAAAUGGAAGUCAAAUCCCUUUCAAAGCAACCUAAACCAAGAUUCUAAUCCCAUUAGAUUAGCUCCAAAAGCCUCCAAACAAAAAGCCCCAAAAUAAAUCCUAAAAUCUAAAUCUAGGGUUUCAUCUCCCAAAAUCUACCAAAACUAGGUUUAGAGGGGAGGAACAAGCAACUAACCUCUUUAAAAGCUCCAAUCCAAACUCCAAGAGUGAAGGUCUCCUCUCUAGCAAACUCCAAGUCCAAACCUCCAAGCACCAACAAGGUGGGAAAAGAGGAAGAGGGUGAAGCUCCAAGUCCUCAAACAAGCUCUUCUUCUUCUUCUUUCUUCUCCUUCUCCUCCUUCUUCUUCUUCUCUCUCUAAGAUGCAAGGGAGAAUGUAAAAUGAGGGAGAGAGAGAAGUGAAAUGGCCAUAUAGGCCCUCUAUUGUAACAAAAUCCAGAAAAGUCCCUCUACUUUUCAUCCUAUGCAUCAGCCCGAACUGGGCAGUUUUCGCCCAGAGGGACUGAUCUCUCCCAGCUGGGAGCGAUCCCUCGGGACCCUCCGCAAAACCAGCUCUCGGGAACCGGUCUCCCUAGCCGGGGACCGGUUGCCUCACCGUGGGGGAUCAGUCUCUCCCACCAGGGACCUGUCCCCGAGAGUAAAAAUCUCAGAACUUGUCCAGAAACUCAGAUUUCACACUUUUUGGUCGGAAUACAGUCUACGACCCUUCACCAAGUGUGGAAAAAGCUCGAAACACCAAACCCAAACACUCGAACCUUGCAAUUUGCGAAAGUCCAAUGUGUUACAUUCACCCCUCCUAAAAAGGAGUUUCGUCCGCGAAACUCGAAAAGCAAAGUACCUCAAAUUUCCAUCUGGAACAGAUGGGGAUAGCGUUCCUGCAGUGCGCUCUCCAGCUUCCAAGUGGCCUCGCGCUCCUCGUGGUUGCUCCAAAGAACCUUCACGUAAGGGAUCUCGCGGUUCCGCAGCCUCUUCAUCUCACGAGCUAAGAUCCUCCCUGGCUGCUCCUCGAAACUCAAAUCCUCCCUCAGCUCCAAUGGCGUCGCAUCAAGCACAUGAGUCGUGUCAUGGAUGUACUUCCGAAGGACCGAUACAUGAAAGACGUUGUGUACACCCGAUAGGUUCGGUGGUAGAGCAAGUCAAUACGCUACCGGGCCUACACGUUCCAAAAUCUCAUAUGGUCCAAUGAAUCGAGGGCUCAACUUGCUCCGGAUUCCAAAUCUUCUAAUCCCUGGAGUCGGCGAGACUUUUAAGAACACAUGAUCUCCAAUCUGAAACUCUAAGUCUUGUCGACGCUUAUCUGCAUAACUCUUUUGCCUACUCUGGGUUGUCAACAGUCGCUCCCGGGCAAUGCAAACCUUAUCCUCUGCUUCCUGGAGCACGUCAGGGCCUAAAGCCAAUCUCUCGCCUACUUCACUCCAGUGAAGUGGUGAUUUACACUUCCGUCCACAGAGUGCCUCGAAAGGUGCCAUCUUGAUGCUUGCUUGAUAACUAUUGUUAUAAGCAAACUCCGCCAUUGGUAGAUUCUGCGACCAUCCUCCCCGUAAGUCUAUCACGCAGGCUCAGAGCAUAUCCUCAAGAGUCUGUAUGGUGCGCUCUAACUGCCCGUCACUCUGUGGGUGAAAAGCGGUAUUGAAGUCCAAGCGCGUACCCAAAGAUCCUGUAGACUCCUUCAAAAGUGAGAUACAAAUCGGGGGUCUCGAUUCGAUACUAUAGAAGUAGGUACUUCGUGCAAUUGCACUAUCUCAUCCAAAUAUACCUGUGCGAGUCUCUUACCAGCCCAAGUAGUGUGGAUAGGUAUGAAAUGUGCCGAUUUCGUCAACCUAUCCACGAUCACCCAAAUAGCGUCAUGCCCGGCCUGUGAGCGGAGCAAUCCCAUCACGAAGUCCAUAGUGAUCUUCUCCCAUUUUCAUUCUGGAAUCGGUAAGCUCUGCAACUUCCCCGCAGGAACUCGGUACUCAGCUUUAACCUGUUGGCAAGUUAGACAUCUCGCAACAAACUCACCAACGUCCUUCUUAAUCCCGGGCCACCAGUAAAGCAACUUUAAGUCCUUGUACAUCUUGGUGCCUCCCGGAUGUAUAGCGUAGGGCGUUCGGUGUGCUUCUUGAAGGAUUUUCUCUCUAAGUGCCGAUUUCGCCCGUACACAAACCCGUUCGCGGAAACGCAUCAAUCCUACACCGUCCUCAGUGAAGUCACCGGCGCAACCAUCAACCAUCUUAGCUCUAAUCCUUUGUAACUCCACAUCGUGAGUUUGCUUUUCCUUGAUCCGAUCCAAAAGUGUAGGUUGCACCGCCAAGGUCAUCAAUAUCAAAGGUGUAUCAGGAGCCACCGCCUCCAACUCCAACCGCUUCAUCUGCUCGAUCAACGGCGGUUGAGUAACCACAAGUAUCGCUAAGUUUUUCGUCGAUUUCCUACUUAGCGCAUCCGCCACCACGUUAGCCUUGCUUGGGUGGUACAGGAUCGUCAAAUCAUAGUCCUUGAGGAGCUCCAACCAUCUGCGCUGCCUCAAGUUCAACUCCUUCUGAGUGAAUAAAUACUUUAAGCUCUUAUGAUCCGUAUACACUUCACACUGCUCGCCAUAAAGAUAAUGGCGCCAUAGCUUCGAAGCAAAGACUACGGCCGCCAAUUCCAAGUCGUGAGUAGGGUAAUUUCUCUCAUAAUUCUUUAACUGGCGAGAAGCAUACGCGAUCAUUUUCCCGUCCUGCAUCAAAACACAGCCCAAUCCUUUAAAAGAAGCAUCGCUAUAAAUCACAUACCCUACUCCUGCAAUCGGCAAGGUUAGGAUCGGGGCAGUCGUCAAUCUCUGGUUUAGUUCUUGAAAGCUCCUUUCACACGCAUCAUUCCAGAUAAACUUGGUGCCUUUAUGCGUGAGUCUCGUGAGGGGAGUAGAUAACCUCGCAAAUCCCUCAACAAAUCUCCGGUAAUAGCCGGUAAAGCCAAUAAAGCUCCUUAUCUCAGUAACACUCGUCGGCCUUGGCCAAUCCUUGAUAGCCUUAAUUUUCCUCGGAUCCACGGCUAUACCCGAUCCAGAAAUCAAGUGGCUCAAGAACGCCACCUCUCUGAGCCAAAACUCACACUUUUUCAACUUGGCGAAGAGUUUUCCUUCCCGAAGCACUUGAAGUACUAGUCUCAAGUGUUCCUCAUGAUCCACAACACUUCGGAAAUGGACCAAAAUGUCGUCGAUGAACACCACGACGAAUCUGUCUAAGUAAGGCUUAAACACACGGUUCAUUAAAUCCAUGAAAGCUGCCGGAGUAUUGGUAAACCCAAACGGUAUAACAGUAAACUCGUAGUAUCCAUACCGUGUUCUCAAAGCCGUCUUUGACACAUCCUCAGGCAUGAUCUUUAAUUGAUAAUAUCCCGACUGCAAGUCGAUCUUGGAAUAUACACUCGAUCCUUGCAGUUGAUCUAACAGAUCAUCGAUUCUCGGCAACGGAUACUUGUUCUUAAUCGUGACUUUAUUAAGUUCACGAUAGUCCACAAAAGAUCUUGCAACUGUACCUUCAGCUCCUUCAAUUCCACUGAUGCCAUCCUACAUGGCGCUUUUAAGAUUGGAGUAGUCUCGGGGACGAGAUCUACAACAAACUCAAUCUCUCUAUCCGGUGGUAUGCCUGGUAGCUCCGCUGGAAACACAUCCCCAAACUCCCAGACGACGGGGAUGUCCUCAAUCCUAGGGGCGUCGGUUUCACCCCGCAACACAAUAGUAGCCAAGUAUGCUACGCAGCCUUUGCUGAUCAACUGUCUAGCUCGAGAGGAGCUAAUUGUCAUCGCAAACAGCGAACUCUGGCAUCCUCGGUACAUGACUUCCGCCUGUCCCGACUCUCUAAACGUCACCGUUCGAUUCUUGCAAUCGAUAGUGGCGUAGUACUUGGUUAACCAAUCCAUUGCCCAAAACCACAUCAAAUUCUCCAAGUUUGCGCAAUACGAAUAAAUCCGCGAGCAUGAUCCAAUCCUCUACUCUAACAGGGCAACUGGGGCAGAUCUCUUUAAUGUCCAAGAAGUGGUCGGGAACAACAACACGUCCCGGAUGUGACAGGAAAACAAGUGGGAUGCCAUGCAACUCGGCAAACAGCCGAUCAAUGAAUGAAUGCGAUGCACCGGUAUCAAAUACAUCACGUACUCGAAUGCCAUAAAGUAAGAUGAUACCUGCAACCACAUUCUCGACUGCUGCCUCCUCCGUCUGGGCCGCAUACAUGCGCCCGCUCGGGUCCUGUCGUGACCCCUCCGUCUGGCUCGGUGCAGGUGGCCGUCCGGCCUAGUGGUGUGCAGAAAGCGUCCCCUGGCUGGGACCCGGUGGCCGUCCGGCCUAGUGGUGUGCAGAAAGAUUCCCCUGGCUGGGACCCGAUGAUGUUGGUGCAAAUGCCGAAGAUGGCGGCGCUGGCGAAUGGCGCUGGCGAUGGACCCCUCGGGCAGUCUGACUGGAAGUGGCCCUCCUGACCGCACAAGUAGCACCUGCCCUGGCUGCAUGAACACUGCCGCGAAUAAUGAGGACCACCGCAGAUCACGCAGCGCGGAGCCUGACAACGAUCAGGUCCUCAUCGCUAAGUAGACGAGUCACGUCCACGCGACUGGCUCCGACUCCUGGGGUGCCUCGGCGGCCUCCGUGAGUGCGCCUGACUCGCACUCUCAGCUGCAGGCCUCUUGCCCUUCUCCUUAUCCGAGCCCUCACAACGCUCUUAGAGCUCCACCGCGCCGCUCUCCACGAUGAGCGCACGGUUCACAACCUCCCGGUAGGUCUGGAGGUUGGAGGACUGCACCAUCCGAAAGAUCGAAGGCCGCAAUCCACGCUAAAAAAUGCGGGCCUUGUCCUCGUCAUCGCGUACUACGAAGGGUACACAGUGGAGUAGCCGGGAAAAGCUCCCUCUCGUACUCGGCCACGAUCCGCUCCUCUUGGCGCAAGCUGCGCAAAUCCUGCUCCAUCUUCCUCUUGACGCUAGUAGGGAAGUAGUGCGCCAGAAAAAGCUCCUUGAACUUCUUUCACGAAAUCACUGCCAGAUCAGUGUUGGGGUUGUCCUGGAUAUCCAACCACCAAUGGUAGGCCUCGCCGUCCAAGAAGUGUGUAGCGAGCCAAACUCUAUCCAUCUCCUCCACGAAGGUGUCGCGGAAGAGCUUCUCCAUAUGCAUCAACCACUUCUCAACAAUCCAGUGGUCGACAUUCUCUCCAUCAAACAUCCUCGGGCUGCACCUCCUGAACUCGCCGAGGCGAUCCAUAAGUCGAUCCCGCUCUGCUCCCUCGGCCAUCACGGGGAAAGCUGCCCUCGCCGCAGGUAUCUGAACUGGUGGUGCCGCAACCGCCUCCUCCCGUGGUGCGGUCGCCGGUACCGCAUGUGAAGAACUAGGCGCGGGGGACUGCGCCCUCGGCGCGACAUCCACGACGGGUGCUGGCAGUGUGGGAACCUGGGUCUCCCUAGAAGCUGCCGCCUGCUGUAGCAAGAGGUCCUCCAGAUGCUUCAUCCGUGCCUCCUAUCGCUGUGCCACCUCGGCUUGUCUCUGAGCGGCCGCCGCCUGCUGCGCUACAAGAUUAGGGAGGGCCGCAAGCUGUGAGCUCAAGUCGCGGACCUCACUAGACCCGAAAGUAGCGGAGGUCUCGACCUCCUCAAGGUGUGCCGCAUCAUCCGCUCCAGCAGAUUGGGAGCGUGUAAUCGGCAUCGACACUACAAAGUAUAAAAGCGCAAAUUAGUAACCUGCGCUAUCGCAACCCCACUCAAGAUAACCGAAACCCAAAUCAUGUGAAAGUAAAGAAGCAUUCUUCACUACUAACUCCCGAUGUUACAUUGUCGGCCGCCAACGUAACCCUCCGCGAAGUUAGAAGCCAUAUACUUCAGUCAAACUCCAACUUUUCGGAGUUGUCAAGAUACCUAAUCAAGAUACUUUCGCCUACAAAUUAAAUAGACCUCGUCUCUCACGAGCCUAUUUUCUAUAGUCCGACUGGCCUAAGGUUUGCUAGGUCCUCUAAGACUCAACCCUAGGCUCUGAUAUCAAAUUAAUCUGUCA
rnacentral:lncRNA from 1 species